rnacentral:misc_RNA from 1 species
GUGAGUCAUCGAAUCUUUGAACGCAUCUUGCGCUCCCUGGCAUUCCGGGGAGCAUGCCUGUUUCAGUAUCAGUUCAACUCCAAAGUCUACCCUUUUCUUUAAUUAGUUGAGGGGCCGACUGCUAUUGAGUGCUCUCGAGCAUAUAAAAGUAAUUUUAUAAAUUUCGAGUCACUUGAAAUAAAGAGUACGGCAGUGUUUAUCUCAUUAAACAUCGGCCUCUGGUGUAAUUAUUGUAGCCCUAGCGGGAUCCUACUUUUCAUUAUUCACCUCAGUGCUGAGAGAUUGAACGCUGGACCGUCU